GCAGGUAUAAUUUAGGGGUAAAAUGUGUGCUUCCCAAGCACAAUUCACGGGUUCGAUUCCCGUUACCUGCUCCA
rnacentral:tRNA from 1 species